UGUGUUUGGCUGAAAUUNNNNNNNNNNNNNNNNNNNNUGUAAGCUGAAUAUAACUUAAAUUUCAACUUGAAGUUACUGUAAGAGGUAUGUGUAUUGUGUUCUUGCAUGUGCUUAAGGUUAUCUUGAUGUUGAUUAAUUUAAAUGAAUGGAGUAGACAUGAACUAGUUAAUAAAGUUACUAAUUGAAGAUAGUUGGAGUUGAGGAUUGUUUAUUUUGUUAUAAAUAUAUAGUAUAAGGAUGGAAUCAUUAAUGAAUGACUUCAUUUUCAUGUUAAUGAUACUGUUAAGUUAAUGUAAGAAGUCUAUAAGGGACGAUAUGGGUUAUAAGAAUAACAAUCAGAGCUUGCUGCUCGUCGUGAAGUAGUUGUGAUUUGUUGUUGUUAUAUGGUGUCUUGUUAUUGAUAUUUAUAUGUUGAUAGAUUUCUCUAGUUGUUGUUGUUGGUAUAUGGUAUUGGAGGAGGCCCUUGUUACAGGGAAAAUACUGCCCGAAUUUGCGUAAAUGAGCUACUAGCUUAAGUUACAGACUUAGCCUUUGCUCAGCACUAAUUUUGAAUCUCUUUAUACUAUGAUAGAUUGAGUUGACUUGUUUGAAGAGUGACUUGGAAGGUAUUAAGGACUCAACGGGUUUAAGGUAUGUUAAGGCACUUCCUUCUUUCUUUUGGCAUGAUCUAAAGUGAAAUGAAUAUGCUAUUUCAUAACGGAUCUACUCCUAGCAACCAAGGUUGUCCAUGUUGUUCUUUCCUUAUAAAGUUAUUCUAAGAAAGUGUGUAUGAUCCUUGAAUCCUACUAAAGUUCAUAUUGAGGCUAUGGAUGUCCAUAAUGUUAAUCAAAGGUGCAACGACCUUAAGUCACUCCGAAAGGUUUAGAAUGUAAUUCCAUGAGUCUAGCAUGCAUUAUAUAUAGUAUCUAUUUUAAUCUACCGAGCCACGCUAUAGUCGGUCGGGUACGGCACCUAUGGUGCAACCACUAAUCAAUUGGGUUUACCGAGCUCCAUGUGGCCGGGUACGAUUCUACCGAGCCUUAUGAUGGCCGGGUACGUUUUUACCGAGGCGUAUGUUUUUAAAAGUUUAUGUGUAUAUAUGUAUUAUGCAUUUCAUGUCAGUAGCCCCUAGAGGCACUCAGAUGUUACAGGUUGUAUCUCCUUUGUCUCUCUUUACAUUACUGUUCUUGUUUAUGCAUUCCUGCCUUACAUACUCUGUACCUUAUUCAUACUAACGUCCCUUUUUUCCUGGGAUGCUGCGUUUCAUGCCCGCAGGUCUCGAUAGACAGGUUGACAUUCCUCCUAGUAGGCUAUCAGCUUAGUGGAAGGUGUUGGUGCACUUUACUUACUCCGGAGUUGCCUAUUUGGUCAGUAUGCUUUGGACAUGUAUAAGUUGGUAUGACGGGGCCCUGUCCAGACCUUUAUGACUUUUAUAUACUCUUAGAGGCUUGUAAAUAGAUGUCAUGUAUAUGGAUAAUUGUAUGGACUUGGCAGCUAAUGUUUUGAGUGUAGAAAUGAUCAUGUCGGACUUAUAGGCCUGUAUGUCACAUGUAUAAGUUCGUAUAACAUGUUGGGUCGUCAUAUGUUGAGUAUUUCCUUAUGUUUUAUUCUUGUUAUCUCAUGACGGGCUUUCUCGCUGAUUUACCUAUGAUAUUAUGAUAAGAAAGAUAUGUCACGUUGGUACUCGGUUGAGUAAGGCACCGGGUGUCCGUCGCGGCCCUUCGGUUUGGGUCAUGACAAAAGUGGUAUCAGAGUAGUCCUGUCCUAGGGAGCCUACAAGUCGUGUCUAGUAGAGUCUUCUUUAUGGGUGUGUUGUGCACCAUACUUAGAAGCAGGAAGCUACAUGGCAUUUAGGACUGUCACUCUUUCUUCUUACUCUAGAUCGUGUGGUAAAGCUCAAUUGUAAGAAUUCAAACUUCUAAAUUCUCUUUUAUUCGUAAUACAAUGAUACCUCAUCCAAACCGACAGUUGGUAAGAGAUUGAAUAUUGUUAUGGAAGAGUUGAGUCAAUGGAACUAGAUUUUACAUCAUGAUUAUGAUGAAUAAAUGUAAAGUUUUUAGUAGAUUAUGUGUGUACUAAGACGCGUAAGUUUCUUGAUCAGGAGGCCUAAGGCAUAAAUAUCUAUCCACCCAUAUGGUUAAAAAGCAACGAGAGAAUCAGAAGGUAAAUACAAGUUUAAACAAGUAAAAGAAGCAAGGUGGUGAAGGUUACGAGGUAUCCAGUUAGUGAAAAUUUUGAGUUUUUACAAUUCAGGCAGAGAAAUAUAUGUAUUCUGAGUUACCUUCAACAGUAACAGAGGUAUGUACAAUUGACCACACUUAUCUUAGUUAUGCCCUAUGGGAGCUAACAGAUUUUGUUUAAGAGAAAGAUGGUAUAUCAGGAUCGAGUUGGGGUUUGAGUAACCUAAAAUGGUGGAUGGGUUGUUAGAAUAGGCUGUCAUUUUCGAAGGAUAUCACAAACGUGGUAAUAGUUCUCCUUGUGAGAUACCCCGAUGGUGCACUCUAGAAUAGUACACUUAGAUAUAAAUACUAGAAUGUCCAGAAAAAUUUAGGGCACUGGAAUCCUAGAAGGGAUAAAUAUUUGCCUUUGUAUGGAUCUCGUUCCUAGUAAAGAGAGAAUGUUAGGUGACCCAAAGAGCCAGUAAGAUGAAGCAAGGGGAGCUAAAAGUGAAAGAAUGUUUUGUUGAAGUUAUCAGAAUAAAGUGAUAGACAGAAAUAUUAGCCAGAAAAUAAAAAGAGAGUAAUUGAAGCAUUAUGAGUAAGAUGUGAUAAAUGGAUGAUAACGAUAAAUCAAAUAUGACAGAAUGACAGAGUCUAUAGUCAAGUAAAGGAAAAGAUAAGAGGUGACAGGCCUUGAGACAAUAUAAGAGUAUAGGCCAAAGGUUAUAUCCUCAUUUCGAGAAAUGGGUUGGUGACUCGAAUGUGAUUACCAGAAGGAAAAGUUAGACCCCAGUAGUAAUAGAAUUUAGUAUGGGAUAGUAAACAAGAUAAAAAAAUCGAACAUGAAUUAGGGAUCGAAGGAAUUAGGAAUAGUCGGCAUCACGAGAAUUUCAGAUAUCGUGUUCAAAAAAUAAUAGAAUAGACAACAGACGAAAAACCUUUAAAGGUCAUUUAGGAAGACGCUUCCCUAAAGCAAGCACUCUGAGAAGAGUUAAUCUUAAGGGACUAGGUGUGCCAGUUACACUAGGUGUCACCUUCGUGCGUAAGAAAUUCAGUUAUCCCUGGUACAGAAGGGUUACCAUAAGGCGAGUAAGGGUCAUUGAUGAUGUGAAACGAUGCCAAAGAUGAAGAGGUAAAACAUCUAUUGGUAGAUCUUUGUAGCACUAAAUUUUAGUACUCUCAUAAAUAGGGAAGAUGGUGUGAUAUGGUAUUAAGUCGGAGUUAUUGGUUCCGGUAACUAUGGAAUAAUAAAGCAAGAAUGUGGUAGAAAUGUGAAAGGAAUAAUAUUGUCUUUAUAUAGAUCCUAUCGAUAUGUCGCAACUCCAGAAAUAUAUGAAAGCACGACGCCAGGCAGAGGCAGUAAGAGUUCCCAGCCAGGAUAUUAUUGAUAAAUAAGUGCAAAUAGACACUUGAUACAUCAGGAGCAGUGCAAGAGGUAAAUUAAGACAAAGGACAUAUACCAAGAGAGAUUACACAGAGUAUAGAUAUGACAAUGGACCAAUGAGUAGUUAGUAGUUGAUUCCAGAAGAGCCUAGUUAUGGUUAGACAAGAGGAUACAGAUAAAUCAUGCAGAUUGUGCAAGGUAAACGUAGUGAACCCCAACAUAGUGAAUUCAGUCUCGCAGAUAUAAUAACAUCGUGGUCCUUGAGAAAUAUUUGGAUAGGAUUUGGGGUAGUUAAAGUUACCGUAUAAGUGUUACAUAGAUAAAAGAAAGUGCCACCAGGGAGAUAGUCAAAAUUUCAGUUUAGAAGCAACCCUACGAGCACAAGGGCGCGAAGGUAGGUAACUAAGGAUAAUUAUAGGCGAGUAAGAACAUCAAAAAUUCCUUCGAUGAUAUGAUAUAAUAAGCUCACAGCUUUACAAGAGUUAGAGGAUCUCCCAUGAGUACUAUAAUGAAAGGAUAGCUGUGGAAAUAAGGAAGAAGGCUUUAACCAAAGCAUAUCGAACUGAAGAAGAAAUGAUCUUGAAACAACAGUCUCACUACAACAAUGUAUACACUCUAGAAGAAAGUGGCACUUAUCAUGACUAAUGAAUGGGAAGAAAAAAACCAAAAGUGAUAUUUGAGAUAAUAUGAGUUAUAGGAAAUUCAAGUAUUCAUGAGCAAUAAGAUAAGUCAAGUAUUCAUGCAACAAGUGGAAGAACAACCAGAAAAAGUAAUUAUUUACAUUUAAAAAAAAUUGAGAAGGCACGAAAUGGAAUCUAUGGUGCUAGCAACUUAAAGGAAGUUUGCGAGUAAUAUAAAUAGAUAUGUGUAGGUCGUAAGAUAAAUUAUCACAGAGAGACAAGGUUUUAUGUGGAUAAGGGUAAGGAUAAGAUAAAGUGAGUGAGAUAGUGACAAUAGUAGGUAAGGCGUUGGGAUUAAUCCCAUCAAAACAAGAGACCUGAUGGUUUCCGUAAGUUAUAGAAAGCUCGGUACAGCCUGAAUGAACACAGAGGAGUCUAAGACUAUGAGCAAUUAGAAGAGAUGAAAUGCUACCCCAGUAGUAGAAUAAGAGUGUAAUUAUGAUAGAUAAGAGGAUGACAUUUAGGCCUUUGAUUGAGGAAUAAUUUAAAGAAAAGAGAUUUUAUGAAUUGCACGGGAUUGGAAUGCCCCCACAAGAUGAAUCAUGUCAAGAUGCUAUGAAAUGUAGUUAUUGAAGUAUAGUAUCGUCCCUAGGUGGAUGGGGAAAAUCACUUCAGAUGUUCUCCGAUGAGACGUGUGCCCUAGUGAUAAUGUAUUACGUAAGAGGUUUCAAGUUAUCAGUGGUAGAUUAUGGAUCAACAUUAAGGUGAAUCACCAAUGGAUGGAUAAAAGUUGCAAAGUAUGAGAUGAGGUUAGACCUUCAUUAUUAAGAUGAACAGUAAUGAGGAAGCAUUAAAUGGCUUAGAUUUAUAUAUAUAGGAUAAGCAAUGGGAGAGUAACCUAGAAUUAGGUGGCAGAACUCGAUAAUAAUAAACAGAAAUAAGAGUUAUGGUAUAGUAUGACCUACCUAGUUGUAGUAAAGCCAUAAUUAUAGAUAACUGACGCUAUGAAACAAGAUAUAGCAAAAGUCAUAAGUUCUACAAAGUACCGAGCGAAGAACUUUAGUACACCUACAACUUGUCAUCUAUAUAUGUUCACAAAGUGAGGCCUAGAGAUUAGUUAAAAGCUAACAAAAAAAGGAGAUAAGAGUCACAUAGGCGCACAUUCAAGGUUAGAACCGUACACACUGCAUGAAAGAAGGUAGAAACAGUUAUGAGAUUGGAAGAAUUUCGACCACAAGUCAUGGUGUGAGAAAGAGGCCUAAAGGGGGGAAUGCCCUGGCCUUUGGAUAAUUUAACUAAACAAGUCCCUAGAGGGAAAAGACAAUAUUAAAGUACUCGUAAGAGCUAUUGCUGAAGAGACGGAUAAGUGCAUCAGUCAACAUUCGAGGAAGAAUGUUCCAAAGGGGGGAAUGAUGUUACACCCCAUGUUUUCGUGCGUUAGUGUAUGUCGUAAGUCAAUUGAUAUAAGCUCAGAAAUAAGAUUAUAUUUGAAAGAAUAUAAAUUAAGUUAAUCAUGUUACCUUAGAGGUUACAAACAUUUAAUAUAAUGAAUAACGAGUACCAAGAGGGUUGGAAAGCUUAGAAGUUAAACCACUUGAAGAAAAUAAGUUUUGUCGAAAGUCGACAAGUUUAGAAUGUUAUAACAUGUACCAUAGGGUGAGACUAUGGUUCUUAACAUGAUAAGGAUGUUAUUUUAUGAUUUAUUUUAGUUGUAUGAUAGUCGUGUAUUGUAUUUUGAAGUCAAGCGAGUUGUGGAACAAAAGUUGGCAAAGGUCAUCACAAGUUGCAUUCAUAAAGUGCUGAAAUUUAGGUCAAAUGUAGCUGCACUUUUCUCCCAAUAUACUUGGAAUCAAGAGAUAAUCUACACAUUAAAUUAAAUAUCUACGAGUCUAUUUUCUAAUACAUUAAACCGUUUAUCGAUACGACAUCGGAGCAGAGACAUAUUCGCGUUUUUGCGAGACCACACAAGCAGCUUCAAAUGGAACCCACUUAGGCGGUGGUCGACCUACUUCACUUUAUAAACGAUUUGGACGCCUAUUUUUAACUCAUGUUCAACUCAACUUCGUCUCCAAACUUAUCCUAACCCUUUUAAACAUAUAUUACAAGGGUUUGAAGUGAUUCCAAAGUGAUUACACCAUAUUUCAACAUCAAAACUUAGUUCUAGUGAAGGACAACACCUCUUUGAGGUUGUGUUGUCAUUGAGGAUUGUUGUAGGCUGUGUUUGGCUUAAAUUCCAAGUUGUUGCUACUGUCUAAGGUGAGUAUAACAUCCUACUAAUUGUUCUUAAGCUUUUUGUAUAUUGUUUAAGUUGUUAGGAUGAUAAACUACAAGAUAAUACUUGGAUUAGCUUAAGUCACUUCUAUAGUGUUGUAUUGCCAUUGAUGGUUGUUGUAAGCCGAAUAUAGCUUGAAUUUCAACUUGACGUUACUGUAGGAGGUAUGCGUAUUGUGUUUUUGCAUGUGCUUAAGGUUAUUUUCAUGUUGAUUUAAAUGGAUGGAUUAGACAUGAACUAGUGAAUAAAGUUACUAAUUGAAGAUAGUUGGAGUUGAGGAUUGUUUCCUUCGUUAUAAAUAUAUGGUAUAAGGAUGGAAUCAUUGAUGAAUGACUUCAUUGUCAUGUUAAUGAUACUGUUAAGUUAAUGUAAGAAGUCUAUAAGGGGCGAUAUGGGUUAUAAGGAUAACAAUCAAAGCUUGCCGCUCGUCGUGAAGUAGUUGUGACCUGUUGUUGUUAUAUGGUGUCUUUUUAUUAAUAUUUAUAUCUUGAUGGAUUUCUAUGGUUGUUGUUGUUGGUAUAUGGUAUUGGAGAGGCCCUNNNNNNNNNNNNNNNNNNNNNNNNNNNNNNNNNNNNNNNNNNNNNNNNNNNNNNNNNNNNNNNNNNNNNNNNNNNNNNNNNNNNNAAGGACUCAAUGGGUUUAAGGUAUGUUAAGUCACUUCUUUCUUUCUUUUGGCAUGAUCUAAAGUGAAAUGAAUACAAUAUUUCAUAACGGAUCUACUCCUAGCAACCAAGGUUGUCCAUGUUGUUCUUUCCUUACAAAGUUAUUCUAAGCAAGUGUGUAUGAUCCUUGAAUCCUACUGAGGUUCAUAUUAAGGGUAUGGAUGUCCAUAAUGUUAAUCGAAGGUGCAAUGACCUUAAGUUACUCCGAAAGGUUUAGAAUGUGAUUCCAUGAGUCUAGCAUGCAUUAUAUAUAGUAUCUAUUUUACUCUACCGAGCCGCGCUAUAGUCAGCUAGGUACGACACCUAUUGUGCAACCACUAAUUAGUUGGGUUUACCGAGCUCCACGUGGCUGGGUACGAUUCUACCGAGCCUUAUGAUGGUCGGGUACGUUUUUGCCGAGUCCUUUUUUAGGCCGGGUACGAUAUGAUGAUGAUGAUGCCCAUAUAGGCGUAUGUUUUUAAAAGUUUAUGUGUAUAUAUGUAUUAUGCAUUUCAUGUCAGUGGCCCCUAGAGGCACUCAGAUGUUACAGGUUGUAUCUCCUUUAUCUCUCUUUACAUUACUAUUCUUGUUUAUACUUUCCUGCCUUACAUACUUGGUACCUUAUUUGUACUGACGUCUCUUUUGCUUGGGAAUGCUACUUUUCAUGCCUGCAGAUCCCGAUAGACAGGUUGACAUUCCUCCUAGUAGGCUAUUAGCUCAGCGGAAGGUGUUGGUGCACUCCACUUGCUUCGGAGUUACUUAUUUGGUCAGUAUGCUUUGGACAUGUAUAGGUUGGUAUGGUGGGUCCCUCUCCGGACCUUUAUGACUUUUAUGUACUCUUAGAGGCUUUUAGACAGAUGUCAUGUAUAUGGAUAAUUGUAUGGACUUGGCAGCUAAUGUUUUAAGUGUAGAAAUGAUCAUGUCGGACUUAUAGGCUCGUAUGUCACAUGUAUAAGUUAUAUAACAUGUUGGGUUGUCAUAUGUUGAGUAUUUCCUUAUGUUUUAUUCUUGUUAUCUCAUGAUGGGCUUUCUGGCUCAUUUACCCAUGAUAGUAUGAUAAGAAGGAUACGUCACGUUGAUACUCGGUUGAAUAAGGCAUCGGGUGCCCGUCGUGGACCUUCUGUUUGGGUUGUGACAUCCAGGCAAAAAGGGAUGUUAGUACGAAUAAUGUAUCGAGUAUUUAAGGCACAUAAAUAAGUACAUAAUAGACAUGGAAGAAGUAUUGAGUAAAUAACUCAACCUGUAUGUCUGGAUAACUCUGUAAAUUAUGAAAUACUUAUUGUGUCAUGCAUAUGCAUACGAAUGUCAUGUCGUGCAUAGGUACAUGUGUUUAUAACAUCAUCAAGCCUCUGAGGGCAUCCCAUCAUAUCAUCUCAGCCAUUAUGGGAAAAUCAUUAACGUAUACCAGCUGAUCAGGUGGUGGUACGUAUAUAACGCCAUAACCUUUUCCCAUAUUCCAUAUACGUAUAUACGCGUAUAUAACGCUAUCUGGUCAUGGGUCAAUGUAAAUGAAUGCAAUCCAUGCGAAGUACGUUAAUAAAAUCUCUCGGAAUGUCAUAAGACUAGUAUGCCUUUGAGUAAUAUCAUGAAGUAAAAAAAAUUCAACAUACGUAUUUUUCUGAGAUCCAUGAAUAGAAGAUGUAAUAAUAAGACAGAUGGGAAUUUCAAGAACAUAGGCACCUCUAAUACUUCUAUGAAUAUAGUCAUUUAUGGAAGUUGUGCAUUUGCUCGUUUCUUUUGUGUCGUAUAGAUCAUGCCAAAAGGAAAGAAGGGAUAGCCUUAACAUACCUGGAGUAGGGAAAAAUUCUGUAUGAUAUUCUUCGGAAAGGUUGCACCGUACUCCAUUUGAAUCACAAAAUUUUACGUUGCUAAAUCUUGUUGGAAGCAUUUUGUUGCAAGUAGGAUUGCUAAUGUUUAUCUCUUCUUAUUACAAAGCCUUGGUAUUGAAAAUGGUCGGGAAGAGUUUGCAUUUGAUUGAAAAUGUCUUUGAGAAUGAGUUAUCAAAAUAGUAACGUUAUUGAAUGUUGUUUUUGAAAGUUUACAGUUGAGGUGUCUUUUGAUUAAAGAAUUAGGAUGGCACCUACUAAUAAUUGACUAAGAGUCAUUAUUAAUAAGUGGGUUUGCUGCCAUGUUCUCACCUUAAUACUUAUCCAAAAUUUUCAAUUUAUUUAAUUAGGUAAUAUCCUGCUACCCGGUAAUUAACCAAUUACACGAAUAAUUAAGAAUUGCCUCAAAUUACUUAAAUUUCUACUUAUUUUUAAUAUACUUUAUAUAUCCUACUAUCAUGGUCAUAUGGUACCUCGUAUGGUACUAGUCCAUAAAUAUCGGGGUAUUAUAGCUUGGACCGUAUUUUAUCCCAAAUUGCCAAACUUCGACGAAAAUUCAUUUUCUUUGACUUGUUUCCCCUCUCACCUUCAUGAACUUACUUAUCACUUUUUUAAAAUAGCAUAAUCCUUAUAAUCUCUAAAUAAUUUUUUCCUUGGACUGAUGUUAAUUACCUUAUGAUAAAUUCAACGUACAAUACUACAGGGUGCAACAUCGUCAUAAUUUAAUACUGCAAAUCGUAACAUCAUCGUAAAGUAAUACUGCAAGGCGUAACAUCAUCAUAAUAUUGCGGGGCGUAACAAAAUCCCUCAUCACCACCCAAGGAAACUACACCAACACCAUCUAUCACACCUUCAACCACACCUACCUCUAAGAAAGGAAGAUUCAAGAUGAUGGCUCGCAAGGUUGUUGUUGGUGGAGAGAAAAUCAAGAAAAUUAAUGAACAAUUGAAAGCGAGUCGGAAGAAGAACCCUAGAAAUCUGAUGAAUCAUUCAAGUCUGCUACUGAGGGGGAAGAAAUUGUUUCUUCUAAGAUAGAGCAGGUAAUAUCUGGCCCUAAAGUUACUCCUAAAAUCAUCUCUGAGGUUGCUACAAAUCUAGAAAAUUGGUUUGUUCUGGUAGGAACUGUGGCUGGGGUUGAAAUAACUGAGUCUGGGAUAAUUGGUGGUAAAAAUAAAAAGAGAAAAGAAAAGGAGAGUGAGGGUGCUCAAGGUGCUAUGAGAGGAGUGGGAAAAGGAGUGGCUAAAUCUUCACCCACUUCUGUUGGUUUGACUGAAGAAAUAGAUGCUAUGGUAGUGUGGAGUGAAGAAUCUGCCGGAAAAGAAGAAAAUGUGAGAGAGAAAAAAAGGAAGUGGGUCUGGAGAAGCUGUUGAGGGUUGGUUAGAUUGGGGAAGAAUGUUCAAGAACCUAUUCCAUCUGAACAUGAACCCCUUGCAGACCUACUAAAAAAGGUGUCUGACAGUUACCUAAAAAGAAAAGGAGUUUAGGAGUUAAAAUUCCUGGUACUUCUAGGGCAAACAAGAAAAGAAAGUUUGUCUCGUCUAUCCCUGUAAAGACUCCUUCUAUAAGAGAGAGAGCUACAAGGAGUCAGAAGAAGCAGAGUGAGGCUGAACUGGAAAAGACCUUAGAAGAAAGUAAGAGAAAAAUUGCUUCUAAGGGAACGGAGAAGGUGGUUGAGCCUGUUGAGGCAGUUGAGAUUGAAGAGAUGGACUUGGUUCUUCGUGAUGAAGAGGAGGCAUAAGAAAUGGAGGUUGUGACUCCAAAGGCAAAGAAAGCCAAGACUUCCACAAAGAAGUUUGUUUCAAAAACAAAGUCUGCAGAGCCCUCUACUUUGGCUAAAAGAACUAGGUCUGCAUUGAAAUCUAGAAUGUGAAAGUUGUGGAGGAAGAAGAAUGGAGUGGAGAAGAAGAAGAAGAAGAAGAAGAAGAAGAAGAAGAAGAAGAAGAAGAAGAAGAAGAAGAAGAAGAAGAAGAAGAAGAAGAAGAAGAAGAAGAAGAAGAAGAAGAAGAAGAAGAAGAAGAAGAAGAUGAUGAUGAUGAUGAUGAUGAUGAUGAUGAUGAUGAUGAUGAUGCUGAGAAAGACAAGAUGGCUAUGUUUAGGAAGAGAACCAUCUUGAAAGGUAGACUCCUCAUGGACUUGGAGAAGGAAGGUAGGGGUGGCAAAAUGGUUAAAAGAAAAUAGUUAACCACCCAUAUUUUCCACUAAAAAAUAGGUUGGAUAAUAAACUUUUUAAAAAAUGGGUCAAAAUAUGGAUAAGAACCAUAUUAUCUAUUUAGAAAAUGGAUAACCAAUGGGUCUAACUUUUACAUUUGUAAAGCCUCAAAUUAGGGGUUCCUCAAGUUAGGGAGACUAAGAAUUAUCCCAAAAGUGAUCAUGUGCUAGAAUUCAUGGAUAAUAUGGUUAACCCUAUUAUCUGUCGGUUAACCCAUUUUUUAUCCGUAUUAAAUAUGGGUCGAGUCAGAUAAUUGAUCUAUUUUUUUAUUACCCGUUUUCGACUCGAACCAUAUCCGACCCGACCGCUCGUUUUCCACUCCUAGAGGAAGGCAUAUUGAUGUUGCUGGAGAAGUUAUAAUUGUAGGGUUGGAAGAACAUGGUCCUUUAGAUUGAUGGGAAACUUGCAAGAACUAAGAUUGUGGAGUUCAUGGCAAAUUGUGAGAUCAAAAAUGGCAUAGUCACCAGUGUGGUGAAGGGGGUGACAGUGAGUUUUGAUGACAAGGAAUUGGGAGAGAUCUUAGGUGUACCUUCUGAAGGGUACAAUGAUUACAACAAGCUCAAAUGGACAAGUCUAGAGAACCUCCCUACCUCCCAUGCCAUUACAAGGAAGUUCGGUGACGAUGAAGAAGAACUUCAGCCCAAGGCCAUAAACAAAAGUGAUAUGAAGCCAACCCACAAAGUGUUGUUCGAAUUUGUUAACAAAGUUUUGCUGCCUAGGCAGGAAAGGAGGUACAUUGCCACAUUCAUGGACAUGGUCCUUAUGGAAUGUCUGGACAGUGGAAGGCAAAUCAAUUGGCUUGGAUUUAUUAUCCAGCUUCUUGAUAAUGUUCUAACUGGCACCAAAACUCAUGUCAUACCCUAUGGUUUUAUUCUCACGGUUGUACUUGCACACUUCAAAGUACCUAUCAAGAAAUGGAAAGUUUGUACAAGAAAGGAUCACUUUAGGGCAAGCACUAUGACUGCUUAUGAAUAUGAAGUCCACACCACCCCCAAAGAACCUCAUUCAUCCAAAAAAGUACCUGUGAAUAGCAAAGUGCGAGCUGUGGUGCAAGAAAGUGAGGCUAAAGAUGCUAAAAUUGAAAUGUUGAAAAUGAGGUUGCAAGAAGUAGAAACUGAGAGAGAUUCUCUCAGAGCUGAGCUGGCAAAUGAUAACGAGAUGAAUGAUGGCAUUCUUCAUGAUAUGCUAAAACUGCUCCAAGCCAAGAACAAAGAACCUAGUCCUUCAUAGCCUUAAGACCUCCUAGCCUAGUUAGACCAACCAGUGACCCGAAUAGGAUUUUUUUUAUUUCUUUUGCUCAUGAUCUAGUGUAUUUAUUUCUCUUUAUGCUUUGUGGAUGACUAGUAUCAAUGAUAAUCAACUAUUUUUGUGCUCUAACUAUUUGUUGAUGCUUCUUAGAUGGCUAAUAUCAUUAGAUUGAUAAAUGAGAUUUAACUUCAUGAUUUCAUUUGAAGUAGCUCAGGUGGCCAUGAGUAAUUUCUGUUAAACUCUGGUUAUUUAACAUAAUUAUGUAACUUUUUUAUGAUGCCAAAAAGGGGAAGAUAGGUUGUGCUUCUACUUUGGGACUGCGAUGUUUAUAACCUAAUGAACCUGGUCCUUAAUGAUUAGUGAUUUUAAAAUGAAAAGUGUUCUAACUUUGUGUUGAUGUUGAGCUGAGUUGAAACAGGGCUUAUGCUUAUGAAAAGCACAGAGUUUGUCAUCAUCAAAAAGGGGAUAUUUGUUGGCCCAAGUGAAGUUUGUUUUGAUGGUUGACAAAGAAACUCAACUAUGAACUAGGUCCAUAGACAUUGUACACAGUAACGGGCAAAUUCUAGCAUAAGGGAUGUACGUGAAGGAGACAACUUUAAGUUAUUAUAUCUAAUAUAUCUUGAUCGAAAAGGUUGCAUAAAUGAUAAGGAGAAUGACUCCUUACUAGAAGAGAAUUUAUGGGAGGAGUUAAAAGUUGAAAAUAACUAGAACUCUUCCACCAAGGAAGAGUAUAGCAUUGGAACUCUAGUUAUUUCCUAUUCUACUAACUCUAUAAAUUACAGGAUGUUCUCAUUUUAUAAGGACGCACAAAAGCUGAAGUUAAAUGUGAGUUGAGGGGAAAAUAGCAAGGCAUAUUGCAAGCAAUUCUUGUGUAAUUCAAGUGUGCGAACCUGAAGCUACAUGAACCAGAUAGAAGAACUAGUUCCAAGUGUCUGUCUUUUAUUCUAGUUUCAUUGUAGUAGGUGUUUUCAAAUUGUAUUUAGCUUUAUCUAGAAGUAAUUGUAUUAGGUACUCUGAGUAUUCAAGUUAGAGUUAACUUGACGUUGUCGAAACAGUUAGAGGCUGGUUGCCACAACGAGAUUAGAGGUAGUCCUUAGGUUUAUAAAGAAUUUUGUAAAUACUGUUUUGACUCAGUGAUUUAGUGAAGUGUUGGGAAAAAAUCCUACUGAGUAGUAGGUCGUGGUUUUUUCACCUUUUGAGACGGUCUUUUUUCACGUAAAAAUAUUUGUGUUCUUUACUUUUUGCAUUUAUUAUUUCCGCAAUAGUAGUAUAAGGAACACAUAGAAGAACCAGGUCCUUCUAUAAUCUGUGCACCACACAAAUCACUCACGCUCUUGUGUGGCAUUACAGUAUAAAACAUCACUGUUAUAGAAGUGUAAUGCUACAAAGAGCGUACUGCUAUAAAGAUGGAUAUUAUUGUUAUGGGUAAAAAGUUGUUAUAAAAAGAUAAAAUGUAACAUAAAAUAUUGGGUCCUAAAUUUUUGACUUUUAUAUUAAAUACUACUAGUCACUAUUGUGUAAAAAUACUAUUAUAAAAAGAUCUAAUUGUAUCGGAUCGAAUAAUAUAAUAAAAUUUAAAUAUAAACUAUUUUUAAAAGUAAAAGCAUAAAUAUAACCCCUCUUUUAAAAUCGUUUCAGCUACAAAGUUAACAAUACACACGCAUCUAUACAAAAAUUGUCUGGACGUGCUUUUAUUACAGUGCAUCUGCCCCAGGCCGGAAUGUCUUCUACUUCUGUCACAGUGGGAUGUAGCAAAUAGUGUCAUUUUUUGCAUUUGCACAUAUAUAAGACACAAUGCCGCGGCAAACCUUCGUCCUUUCUGCAUGCGUGGUUGUUGCCAAGUGUUUACUUCACGUGUUCACUUUGGAUCUAGCAGUGACAUCUUCUUAAUUCGGUUAUUUUGCUAUACUGGUUUGUUUGCUAUUUUGCUACUAUGAUUUAUGAAGACAAAUACCUGCCUCAUUAUGUUUCCCCUGUCACUAGCUCUCCGACCAAAUGGCUCAACGGAAAUAACACUCCAAUAAGCAUUUUUGGGUCUAUAGCAAACCCUGUAGUUUUGUCCUUAAUGUAAUCAUCGACAUGUUAGCCGAUCUCUCAUGUUUGAGUGAUAUGUGUCGUUUCAGUAAAGUUGGAUAUCAGCACUAACGAAAAUUUAAACGUCAUGAGUGUUGAAUUAAAAAAAAAAACAACUAUAUAUAUAAAUUUAAAUUUAACUUUGUUUGUACAAGAUUUUUACACAUAUUUGUUCAAUCUCAAAUUAUUGAAUUCAUCAGAACUCACCACGCUAUUGCUAGAAUUCUCCACUGCUAAAUUAUGCUCAAAGACUAGUGAGUUAAUACUUGAAUUUGUAUUGUAGUAAGAGAAAAAUGAAAACUUACUACUUCAAUUCUCCGCAUUCACCCACCCUUUUUUAAAUGCAUACGGUGCAAUAAUAUCUAAGCUGUAUGUGGUGUAAUGGAAAAAACAAAGGGGAUAGCGAUCAGCAAAAGCAUCAAUACUUAUCAACUCGCCGCAUAUUUCCGGUGCCAGCUACGUUCAUGUCGUUUACAAAUUGUCCGUACACCGUACUCACGUGACAUGCACGCAGUUACCUAGCUAGCCUUAUCACACUUCCACUUGUUCACUUCAUUUUCUUCUCCACGUUACUCUUCGUUCUCUUCAUUAUCAACACUUGUCAAUUUGCAUGCAUGCAUGCAAUGUCUCAAACUCAUCUUUCUCCACUAUAAAUCCCCACGAACAAAAUCCACUUCUCUUCGUCCCCAUCAACACUUCUCCAUCACAGUUCAAUAAUUAUGGCGAUUUUCACCAAAUCGAAGCUUUUGUUUCUCUUCUUCUUGAUCCUUUCUCUUUUCCUUGCUUCUCAAUGUGAUGAUGAAAACCCUUGGGGCCAAGAUCCGAGGCGCGAGCUCGAGAGUUGCUUAAGGCAAUGCCAGGUUCAGAAAGAAAGACAAGAAAGCCCUGAACAGCAACUCCAGUGUCAGAGAAGCUGUGUUUUGCGUUAUGAACGUCAACACAGGGAGAAAUCUGAAGAAGUGAUUGAGGACAUACCGACUCAUCACCGUGACCCCGAAAGAAUUUACAGAGAGUGCCAGGAACGUUGUCAGAGGCAAGAACAUGGACAGCAGAGACAGUGCCAACAACGUUGUGAGCAGGAGUAUCGGAGAGAACAACAACAACAACAUCGUGGCCACCAGACUGGAGAAGAUAAUCAAGGACGAGAAGGUAUGGUGAUUGUUAUACUCGAACUAUUUUAUUUUAUGUGAAACAGUAGAAAGAGUUUUUCUUUAUUACCGUUUAGCAAAUGCUUUUUAAAAGCAUUUUGAGUGUUCAAUUAGUGUGGCUUAUCUUAUUAAUUCACAUAGUUUUAUAUUAACUUUUUACAUAUUUUUAAUUAUGUAAAUUUUAAAAUUGGAAGUUUUAUGUCCUUAGAAAAAAGUUCACAAAUUUUAUGCCCUUAAAAAGUAAUCUUCUCCUCAAUUCAUGUAGCUAAUUGGGUGUUACCGUUUUUCUAGGAUUAUACGAGCUUUACUUUGAUCAUAAUUUAAUUAUAUGCAUUUUAAAUAUUUAAAAUUAUUAAUUAUUUUAACUUAUAUUCCUUCUUUCGUUGAGCGUAAAAUUGGUAUUUUUUUGGAACGGACCAAAAAGAUAAUAGUUUCACGUAAACUGAAACGGAACGGACCAAAAGAAAAAUAGUUUCACGUAAACUGAAACGGAACGGACCAAAAGAAAAAUAGUUUCACGUAAACUGAAACGGAACGGACCAAAAGAAAAAUAGUUUUUCGUAAACUGAAAUGGAGGGAAUAUUACUUUUGAUUAUAAGUUUAUUAUAUGCAUUUUACAUAUAUUUUAAAUUAUUUUAUUUAGCUUAUAUUACCUUUUAAUUAUAAGUUUGUUACAUGCCUUUUAAAUAUUUUAAAUUAUUAAUUAUUUUAACUUAUACUAUUAUUUUUUCUAUUGUCUUUAAAUAUAUAAAUUUUAUUUAAAAAAUUAUUAUAAUUUUGGGUCCAAAAUCACCGUCAAGGCACUAGAAAUCGGAUUGUGUCUUAGGAAAUAGUUAGUCUGUCUAGUAUAAAGUGGUACCAUGCAUGCAUGUCUCCUUUAUCUUAGCAUUUAGCAAUAGCAACAUAUACAUACGUGUAUGCGAAAAUAUUAAAUUUAUGAAACAUAUUUUCUUUUUGGUCAUUUCAAAAAGAAUGAUCACUGUCUAAAUUUGCUAACAAUUUAGCUUCAACUUACCCUUACCUUACCCUUAACGAGAAGCUUUUAUAACCACACAAAUACUCUGGCCCUUUUUGACUUGUUUAGGACUACAAAUUUCAAAAGUCUUUCAUUUUUUUUAAACUUCGUACCUAAUCAAAUAGGUUCACGUAAAUUUGAAUGGAGGAAUAACUAACACCACAAAUAAAUAAAUAAACUGCCUUUCUUAAAUUCUUUUUUAUUUAUUGUUUCUUGUCUAACAGGUCGUGAACCGGAGAGGAGAUUCAGAGAAUGCCAACAGAGAUGUCAAACACAAGAACAUGGUCAACAACAGAAACAAUGCCAACAACGUUGUGAGCAAGAGUACAGAAGAGAGCAAGAACAACAACGCCGCGGCCAAGGGGAGAUCAUAGAAGAAAAUCAAGGACGAGGCCAACGCGAACCUGAGGAGAGAUUUAGAGAGUGCCAACAGAGAUGCCAAAGACAAGAACAGGGCCAACAACAGAGACGGUGCCAACAACGUUGUGAGCAAGAAUACAGGAGAGAGCAAGAACAACAACGUGGUGGCUCGGAGGAGAUCCUAGAAGAAAAUCAAGGACGAGGCCAACGUGAGCCCGAUAGGAGAUUCAGAGAAUGCCAGCAGAGGUGCCAAAGACAAGAACAAGGCCAACAACAGAGACAGUGCCAACAACGUUGCGAGCAAGAAUACAGGAGAGA
rnacentral:lncRNA from 1 species